ACUCAAAGGAAUUGACGGGGACUUGCACAAGCGGUGGAUUAUGCGGUUCAAUUCGAUGGCAAACGAAAAACCUUACCAAGGCUAGACAUCUAGGUGAAGACGAGCAGAAACGUUCGUCGUUCGCAAGAACUCCUAGACAGGUGAUGCAUGGCCGUCGUCAGUUCGUGAUUUGAAUUGUUCCCUUAAGUGGGGUAACGAACGCAACCCUUGUUGCCUGUUAUACAUGUCAGGCGAGACCACUCAGCACUUUGCACAUAAGUUUUUAUAAUUUGUGUCUAAAGUGCUGAGAGGAAGCGAGGAUGACGCCAGGUCAGCAUGUCCCUCUGACGCCUUGGGCUACACGCAUAAUACAAUGGCCGGUACAACAGGUCGCGACGGAGUAAUCCCGAGCCAAUCCUUAGAAAACCGGCCCCAGUUCGGAUUGGGGGCUGCAACUCGACCCCAUGAAGUUGGAAUCGCUAGUAAUCGCGGGUCAGCUAUACCGCGGUGAAUACGUUCUCAAGUCUUGUACACACCGCCCGU
rnacentral:rRNA from 1 species